rnacentral:lncRNA from 1 species
AUUUUUGGCAGAUGUCAGCUGGUCAGCCCGACCAGUUCGUUACCUUCUCCCUGAAAGAAACAUCUUGUUCGACCCUUCCCAUCCAGUCCGUAUCAGUUAAUAAACCCCAUAUUCAUUUUCUCACCUUCUCCUUAACAACAGUUUUAAGGGUUGGCUUUAGGUCACUUCCGUGUCUCCCUAGUAACCAAGCACGAAAUGUGGCCGGAAGAGACCCUGAUCACGUGAUCCACUGACUUCCGGAUUUUAAUCGUGACUUCCGGUUGUCAGAAUUCCCCAGACGCGGCUGCCCAGCGGGGAAAACUGUGCGGCCCUAGGUCGCCGUGGCCCUCGCGGCGGUGGGCUUGGGGUGGGCUCGCCUCAUCCUGCCCCGGUUAUGAUGCAUCCGCGGCGCCCAGACGGAUUCGAUGGCUUGGGCUACCGGGGUGGUGCCCGGGACGAGCAGGGCUUUGGCGUCGCUUUCCCUGCAAGGUCCUUCAGCUCCGGGUCGGACCUAGGCCACUGGGUGACGACUCCCCCGGACAUCCCGGGCAGCCGCAACCUGCACUGGGGUGAGAAGAGCCCUGCCUACAGCGUGCCCUCCACCUCCACCCCGUACGAGGGCCCGGCCGAGGAACCCUUUCCCAGCGGCGGCGGCGGCGGCGGAGCCGUGCAGGGGCAGAGCAGUGAACAGUUGAAUAGAUUUGCUGGAUUUGGUAUUGGACUUGCAAGUCUCUUCACAGAAAAUGUACUGGCCCAUCCUUGCAUUGUUCUACGCCGCCAAUGUCAGGUUAAUUACCAUGCUCGGCAUUAUCAUCUCACUCCAUUUACAGUCAUCAACAUUAUGUAUAGCUUCAACAAAACUCAGGUGAGAAUUAGUCUGUGGAUCUAUUAAAGCUAUAUAUAAUUGUCGUUUGGGCUUGGUAAUCAUUAAAGUAAGAAUAAUUUCUUCAAUUUGGUUAGCAAAAAUAUCUUAACUUAUAGUAAACC